rnacentral:rRNA from 1 species
GACGAACGCUGGCGGCGUGCUUAACACAUGCCAGUCGAACGAAGAGCGAUGGAAGCUUGCUUCUAUCAAUCUUAGUGGCGAACGGGUGAGUAACGCGUAAUCAACCUGCCCUUCAGAGGGGGACAACAGUUGGAAACGACUGCUAAUACCGCAUACGAUCUAAUCUCGGCAUCGAGGAUAGAUGAAAGGUGGCCUCUACAUGUAAGCUAUCACUGAAGGAGGGGAUUGCGUCUGAUUAGCUAGUUGGAGGGGUAACGGCCCACCAAGGCGAUGAUCAGUAGCCGGUCUGAGAGGAUGAACGGCCACAUUGGGACUGAGACACGGCCCAGACUCCUACGGGAGGCAGCAGUGGGGAAUCUUCCGCAAUGGACGAAAGUCUGACGGAGCAACGCCGCGUGAGUGAUGACGGCCUUCGGGUUGUAAAGCUCUGUUAAUCGGGACGAAAGGCCUUCUUGCGAAUAGUGAGAAGGAUUGACGGUACCGGAAUAGAAAGCCACGGCUAACUACGUG